GGUCUGAGAGGAUGAUCAGUCACACUGGAACUGAGACACGGUCCAGACUCCUACGGGAGGCAGCAGUGGGGAAUAUUGGACAAUGGGCGAAAGCCUGAUCCAGCCAUGCCGCGUGUGUGAAGAAGGUCUUCGGAUUGUAAAGCACUUUAAGUUGGGAGGAAGGGCAGUAAGUUAAUACCUUGCUGUUUUGACGUUACCAACAGAAUAAGCACCGGCUAACUUCGUGCCAGCAGCCGCGGUAAUACGAAGGGUGCAAGCGUUAAUCGGAAUUACUGGGCGUAAAGCGCGCGUAGGUGGUUCGUUAAGUUGGAUGUGAAAGCCCCGGGCUCAACCUGGGAACUGCAUCCAAAACUG
rnacentral:rRNA from 1 species